rnacentral:rRNA from 1 species
AGAGUUUGAUCAUGGCUCAGGACGAACGCUGGCGGCGUGCUUAACACAUGCAAGUCGAACGAUGAAGCGGUGCUUGCACCGUGGAUUAGUGGCGAACGGGUGAGUAACACGUGAGUAACCUGCCUUCCACUCUGGGAUAAGCGCUGGAAACGGCGUCUAAUACUGGAUAUGACAUUGCCCUGCAUGGGGUGGUGUGGAAAGAUUUAGUUCGGUGGUAGAUGGACUCGCGGCCUAUCAGCUUGUUGGUGGGGUAAUGGCCUACCAAGGCGACGACGGGUAGCCGGCCUGAGAGGGUGACCGGCCACACUGGGACUGAGACACGGCCCAGACUCCUACGGGAGGCAGCAGUGGGGAAUAUUGCACAAUGGGCGAAAGCCUGAUGCAGCGACGCCGCGUGAGGGAUGACGGCCUUCGGGUUGUAAACUUCUUUCAGCCUUGACGAAGCCCGCUUGCGGGUGACGGUAGGGGCAGAAGAAGCACCGGCUAACUACGUGCCAGCAGCCGCGGUAAUACGUAGGGUGCGAGCGUUGUCCGGAAUUAUUGGGCGUAAAGAGCUUGUAGGCGGCUUGUCGCGUCUGCUGUGAAAGCCCGGGGCUUAACCCCGGGUCUGCAGUGGGUACGGGCAGGCUAGAGUGUGGUAGGGGAGACUGGAAUUCCUGGUGUAGCGGUGGAAUGCGCAGAUAUCAGGAGGAACACCGAUGGCGAAGGCAGGUCUCUGGGCCACUACUGACGCUGAGAAGCGAAAGCGUGGGGAGCGAACAGGAUUAGAUACCCUAGUAGUCC